UUUCCCUCAGGAUAGCUGGCGCUCUCGCAACCCACGCAGUUUUAUCCGGUAAAGCGAAUGAUUAGAGGUCUUGGGGCCGAAACGAUCUCAACCUAUUCUCAAACUUGGUUGUUUGUGGGGCCUCCCCUCCCCGGCGGGGGGCCCGGGGGGGGCCG
rnacentral:ncRNA from 1 species